rnacentral:rRNA from 1 species
UACGGGGGGGGCAAGCGUUGUUCGGAAUUACUGGGCGUAAAGGGCUCGUAGGUGGCCAACUAAGUCAGACGUGAAAUCCCUCGGCUUAACCGGGGAACUGCGUCUGAUACUGGAUGGCUUGAGUUUGGGAGAGGGACGCAGAAUUCCAGGUGUAGCGGUGAAAUGCGCAGAUAUCAGGAGGAACACCAAUGGCGAAGGCAGCACUCUGGGACGUGACUGACGCUGAGACGCGAAAGCGUGGGGAGCAAACAGG